UCCUAAAUCUUUGAAAAAGUUAGAAGAUUUAGCGACUCGCAUUAUUCUGUGUCUCAUAGAAAUAAGAGAGGGAGGUCAUUGGGAGGCCCAGUCUUUUCCUAGAGUAUUAACCCCUCAUUCAUCGGACUCAAACAAUCCCAUUUCUCCAGAAUGCUCAGCUGAUUCCAACCCCAUGCAACUGGGUCACACCAAGCUAUCUGAGACUGAACGAUCCCGCCGGAGAUUACUCAACCUAUGUUUCUACUCUGGGGAUAAGGGUAACAAGAUUUCUAACUGUUUGAAGAAAGGUCAGAGAACCACCUUGCUAAGCCAAAGUAGCGUUUCCUCCUUCUCGUCCUCAAAACCCUUUCCUGCUAACCUCAUGCUCUCUUCAGUUUCUCACCAGGUCUCAGUGUUCAUUGAUUCUGGAGCAGACACUGAGAUCAUAGAUGAGUAAUUUGCUAAGGAGCUGGACAUCAAACUCAUCCCAGCCCCUUCCUUGUGCAAUGUUUUGGUUUUCAAUGGACAUAAUUUGUCCAGUACUGCUCAUAUAACAGGGAGCAUCAGUUUGUCAAUUGGGGGAAAUCACCAUGAGGAGCUCACCUUCAUCAUAAUUCAAUCUCCUUAGUUAUCCAUCGUUCUAGGGGCCACCUGGUUGAGGAAGCACAACCCUCAUAUUGACUGGCAGAAUAACACAAUCUUGGGUUGGUCUUCGACAUGUUUGGCUUCAUGUUUACUUUCUGCUUGUCCUCCCCCAGAGGUCGUCAGCUCCAUAGAGGAGACCUACCUGGACCUGGCUAAGGCUCCUGUUGAAUACCUUGAUCUUAAGGAAGUAUUCAACAAACCUAGAACAUCUGAACUUCCUUCUCAUAGACCUUAUGAUUGUGGCAUUGAUUUGCUCCCAGAUCUUAUUCAGGGGGUGAAGUACUUCACGUAAUUGGAUCUUUGAAACACCCAUCAUCUUGUCCGCAUCAGCGAAGGGGACAAAUGUAAGACUGCAUUCAACACCCCUAAUGGGCAUUAUGAAUACUUAGUGAUGCGAUUUGGUCUGACCAAUGCUCCAGCUGUCUUUUAAGCAUUGGUUAACAAUGUACUCAGGAACAUGGUGGGACAUUAUGUGUUUGUUUAUCUGGAUGAUAUUUUGAUUUUUUUUUUGCACUCUCUAGAGUCCCACAAGCUCCAUGUCCGGUCUGUACUCCUGCGUCUCCUCCAAAAUCACCUGUUUGUUUCACACCACCACUACAUCUUUUUUGGGUUUUGUUAUCUCCUACAAUCAAAUAACCAUGGACCCUGCCAACACCACAGCCGUCUCUGAAUGGCCCACACCAUCUGACUGCAAGCAAUUGCAAAGGUUUCUGGGUUUUGCUAAUUUUUACCGCCAUUUCAUUCGCAACUACAGUCAGGUUGCUUUUACUCUCCAUGCUCUCACUUCAUCCAAAACUUGUUUUGAGUGGAACGAUAAGGCAUUCACCAAAAUACUUAACCCCAGACAAGCCGGGUGGGUUCUGUUUUUUGGAUGAUUUAACUUUUCUCUAGCUUAGAGACCCGGGACCAAGAGCGUGAAGCAUGAUGCACUUUCCCACAUUUAUGAGAAAUCUGAUUCUACGACCAGUGGUGCGGAGGACUUCAUUCUCCCAGAUUCUGUAAGAAUUUCAAUCACAAUGAUGGAACUGGAAAAGGAGGUCAAAAAGUCAUCCAAGACAUCAAACUCCGGACUCAUGCCCCAAGGACUGCCUGUUCGUACCUGAUCAUCUGAUCCCAAAAGUACUUUUGUUCUGCCAUAAGUCAUAUCUGUUUUGUCACCCAGGAAUCAACAAGACUCUACAGUUGGUUCAGUUUUGGUGGCCAACCCUGACUAUGGGCGUCAAGGAAUUUGUCACAGCUUGUCAUCAAUGCAGUCAAGCCAAGGCCUCUAGAUGCCCACCUUCGGGGUUGCUGUGACUGCUUCCCAUUCUGUCACGUUCCUGGUCUCACAUCACAAUGGACUUUGUCACAGGUUUGCCCGCAUCCAGCAAUAACACUGUCAUCCUCACUGUCGUAGACAGUUUUUCCAAGAUGGUUCAUUUCGUUGCUCUUCAGAAAUUUCCUUCAGCCAAAGAGAUAGAGGAAAUACUUGCUCUGGUGGAUUUCGCCUCCAUGGUCUGCCCACCAACAUUGUGUCGGACACGGGUCCUCAGUUCGUCUCCCGUUUUUGGAAGGAAUUCUUCUCGAUGUUGGGAGUCUCUGUCAGUCUGUCGUCUGAUUUUCACUUGUCUUCUCUGUCUUCUCCGUUCUACAUUGUUUAUGGAUUCCAGCCACUGGUGUUCACCCUCCAGUAAAGGGAGGCCAAGGUCCUGUCUGCACACGUUGCUGCCAUGAGGCGCCAACGCAUAUGGAAGAAAGCCAAGAGAACUAUGUCUGCCAUGUCGGAGGUGCAAUCCAGGGCUGCUAAUUGCCGACACACUCUGGCUCCAGCAUAUCAAUUUGGUCAAAAGGUUUGGCUCUCCACCAAAGAUCUCCCUCUACGAGUGGAAAGCAAGAAACUAACACCUUGCUUCAAUGGACCUUUUCCCAUAGCCAAAGUGGUGAACCCGGUGGCAGUUCACCUUCAGUGGCCAUGCUCCAUUAAAAUUCAUCCUACGUUCCGUGUGUCCCGGGUCAAACCCUACGUCACGUCCCAGCAUUCCUUCCUUUCCUGUCUGCCUGACCUGAUCUCAUUUUGAUUGACGGAUUUCCCUGCUCUGCCUUGCCCACGUCGGAUACUUCAUUGGCUUCUGCUUUCUGGACAAACGACCUUACUUCUGCCUCCUGACCAACCCUCUAUGCCUAACCUUUGGAUCCGUAUGCCUGAAUCUCCCUCUCCCUUUAUGACCUCGCUUCUGUGCCCCGACCCACGUUUCAAGCCUCUCCCUCGGAUCCUGUCACCUGAUUCUGUCCUCCCGGCUCUGAUCCUGUUCCUGUCCCCUGACCACCGCCUUCUGCUCAGUCACUGGGUUUGCAAACCUGACAGCCAGUGUGACAUAGCCCUGCUGCCUCUUGACGAUCACACUGAGGAGUUGAAAUUAAGUUUCCUGAUCAUCUCGGGGAUUCUGAAAAGGUUGUGGCUUUACUUCUGAGUUUUGCUAUAUUCUCAGUUUCUUACUCUGCCACUAAUCAGUCUGUCUGUCUCCAGAGGUCCAUUUGCCUACCGCUCGUGGUUUCCUUUGGUGG